AGCAUAUACAGCUCAUCUUGUCCACAACUCUCAAUAUUUUCUUCAGCCUACUUCCCAAUGCCUGCUAAUCCCUUUUGUCCUUCCCCUCACCCAUUCCCACAUCCUUUUUCUCUUCCAUAUGCCAACAUAUUACCUUGGCUACACAUUUUUUCUCCUGUUUCCUUCUACAAUGCUCUAGUGACAUACUUUCUUGCUAUUUCUCAUCUACAGUCUUACUCUGCACAUCUCAGACCAGCCACGGAGUUUAAGAUAUAAUUAAGAUACCCACCUAUGUGGAGGAUGACCACGUGAAGGAGGUCAGUUUAGCACAUGAAGGCUCUCCAGUGCAACACGUGCCACAGUGUAUCACCAGGCAUAAAUCUCACAGAAAGAGCAAGGAACACAACAUACAAUUGCAGCUGAUCUACAUCUCACAGCAUCAUAGAAUGGUUGGGGUUGGAAGGGACCUCUGGAGGCCAUCUGGUCCAACCCUUGUGCUCAAGCAGUGUCACCCAGAGCAGCUCUAAGAGGACAAGAAGGCCUUAAUAGGUCAACAACCACAACCAUCUCUUCAAGUUGCAGGAGAAAUGAUUGUCAUAGAAGUUCUUACCUUACAUAAGAAGUAGAAUCCUGUACACGCUAACUCCACGUAAAUCCUUGCAAGGAGGAAUCCUGUACAGCCCUCAAUAAAUGGGCUUGAAAUAGCAUAACUACUUCCUCUUAAGUGUCAGUUCUCCCCUAUGCUAGGGUGUUCUGUAAUACUUCCUCAUUUGGUAUUGUACAACUGCAGGAAGAUACGAAGCAAGACUUACACCAGCCAACUUUUUUUCUGCUCUUCUUCAAGAAGCUUGAGGCUAGAGAUAGUCAUAGAAAUAUUAAAAUGAACCAAUAUUUUACAAUGUUUAUGUAUUACAUAGCAGUUAUAGAGUCUUGGAACCACAGUAAAGCAAAAUUAAGUAUUAGAAAUUAACACUAUUCUGAAAUUAGAUUUGUUUACUACGGAAUCAAAGCUCAUGCUAACAUGCUGCCUACACGCAUUCUGUGAGAAGCUGUAGGUAUUCACUACUAGUCUAUUAAAAAUUACCCACAGCUGGCUGCUUCUCAAAGCAUAUUAGAAAGGCAAGUUACCAGAAGGUGGGCCAACAGGAUACAGACUCGUGGUUGUUUUCUACAUGGAUUCUGAUUUUAAAUAAGAACUCAGCUGUCUCAUUAAGCUACAACUGCAGCCUAAGUCAAAGUACCCAUCAGAUACCCACUGGAAACCCAAACUUCAGUAGUUUCAGAACUCGUGAAGGUUUUUCUUCCUCCAUGCAACAGGAACUCUCAUGGAAAGUAGAUUUUUUGUCACUAAGAAUAAGAACAUGUUUCCAUUUCAUUUAUCAGUGUGCAACAAGUAAAAAAAGUUAUGGAAAGGUGCAACUUAAAUCUUUAUAUACAGUAUGAACAAUAGCUUUAUUACUUAGAAUAUGAAACUAAGCAGCCCCAAAUUCAAGACAUUUUGAUAUUUCUUCAUUCUUUUUCCUGAAUUUUUGCAUCUAAACCCAGAUCUUCAGAGUCAAUAUUGUUCUAACAAUUAUUGCUGUAAUAACAUGAUGCAAGUUUUCUUGUGGUCAUUGUUUCACAUUCGUGAUAUGAAUCCAACCACAUGCUCCUCAGCACUGGAAAGAAUAAAGACAACGGAAGACAUUUGAAUCCAACAGUAGUUUAUUACGCUCAUUGCAGAUGAAGUUAGAUACUUCACUUACUAGUAAAUACAAGUUUAAAUAUUAGUUGACAACCGCAGAAAGUAUACAAAUACAAAAGUCAUCAACAAUAACAAAAACAUUCUAAUGUAUUAACUUUUACACAUCAGUUGUAUCUUAUUAUACAGCAACCACUAUAUGAUCCUCAACCAAAAUCAGGGCUUGCACUUGAAAGCAUUUUUUUGUUUUGUUUAGAAUAAAAGUUCUCCAAGAGGUUGAGAGACUGGGGGGUUACAACUGCACUAUUUCCCAAAAUACUAUCAACAUAUAGCCGUACCUAAUACAAAGCUUUUUUAUAUUUUAUGGAUAUUUGCUUUUAACAGGGAAUGCAGUAACAAGAAAAAUAUAUGCAUAUAUUUUUUAAAAAAACUAAACAGCAGUAUGCACUAUUUUAUAUAUAUGUGUAUCUAUACUGUAUUACAGAUUUCAUAUAAAUCAAGUAUAGGCCAAAUUUUGGCAUAAUUUUAAGUGCAUUAAGUUUAAUACAAAAUCCCCCUCAGUCUUUGCUCUUACUUUUAAAGCUACCUGUUACUGAAUUCUCCUUUUCAGGUACGGUAUUUUAAAUGUCUGUCUUAAAACUCAUUUUCAUUUCUGGCAUAUCAGCCUUGACUUCCAAACAAAAUAAAUUUGUCAGAAAAAGCUCAGUGACUAAUUUAGUCACAAAGUUUAGUCUAGACUGAUAGGGCAUAUUAUUUACACUUACCAAUCACUUUAAGGUAGUUGUAUUCUCCUCUGUACCCCUUCAUUCUGUUAAAUGGACACUUACUAAUAUGCAAAUUAUUUCAGGUGCAGAACUAAGCACAAAACACAUUUUGUAAUGCAUAGAAAAUUCGAUUCAACUCCAGCAUGCAGUUAGAAUUAGAGAACACCUAAAAAGCAAUAUCCUCUCUACCAUGAUGCCUUUCUUUGUUUCCAAAUUAAGUUUUGUUUGCCCUUGUUUCACAAAGUAUUACAGAAAGAAAACAACUUAGUGACCCAACUAAUCCAUUUGACAAAGACAGUAUUUACAGUAAAUUUUAAAUAGGCUUGUAUAUUUUUUGCAGAAACAAAAAUACCACUUAAGCUUUACACUAGAAUAAAGUCCUGGCAUGAAGUCAUUCAAUGAGAAUUCCUCCCACAUAAAAAGUCAAAGUUUCCUCAAAGUCAUUUGUAGAAUAUAGCAGUAAAUUGUAUAACCCAGAAACAUUCUACAUCUAAGGAAAACAGCGCAAACAAUUACAGAAAAUUAAUCCCCCAAGAAUUAACUCUCCUGCCAACAUUUCAUCUACUAGCAUUCAGUGAUCUUGUUAUUCAGCACCACUAUGGUACAGAGGAAAAAGUAUCUAUCAAUUGCUGCAAAUGUACAAGCAGUUCCAGCGACUAAGAAACAUCUUCCAAGGUAAGCCCUUUAAAAGUCCUGUAUAAACUGGGCUAAGUGAUUUUAAAAAGAACAGUCCCUUACAAAGUAAGUCACUUAAUGCACAGUGUUUCAUGGAUGCACAUCAGACUGUGGACACGACCUUCAGGGUUCACUCUCAAUGAAAUGAAGAACUAGGUGCAGAACUCCCAGCAAAGUUAGUGGGGGUUAGACAACAAUGCCCCCCUCAUACACUUGAAGUAUUAAAUAUUUUAUAUAUUGCAUGUCAAUCUCCCUUCUUUUGUACUGAGAAAGCAAACGCUGAAAUAGAAACAACUUUUAACACAGCAGAUGUAUUUACUUACAGCAUGCAAGGUUUGUUUUAUGUAUUUGAGCAGCUAACAGCCACUAACAGCCCUUAAGUAUUUACAAGUUCAAACCAACAAUCUUCACAUAAGUAGCAAUUGCUUACAAGCAGCUCAGGACACUCCCCAGGAAAUAAGCAAGAAAUGUGUAAAGAACACAGUGAAAGCAUAGUAAAAAUCGAGUAGCAAAGGAAAAUAUGCCAGCUUUUAAAAUCCAGACAAUCUAACACUGUUCUAGUAGAAAACAAAACUACACAUCGCAUUUAAAGAUACCAUUUUUAAAGAAAUGCAUCUUUUUAGUUGGUGUCUGUCCCCUCACCCCGAGAAAAGCUGUAUGUGAGCUUAAGAAAAAAGUUUCUAAGUAAGUUUCUUAAAAAAAAAAAAAUCUCCCUUUGGUUUGCCAAAUUACCUUGAUUUUCUUUUUUAAAUUUGCAAGAUAAGUAAUAAGGCAAAUGUGAUCAGAGGCUGAAGGGCUUCACGGGUGAUGACAUGAAAGAAAGAUGCUUCAACCCCAGUUCACAGAACGGGAAGCAAAAGCAAGAGUUUUAUUGUAAACACGAAACUUUUUUCGUAAGACUAGGCUGCAGAACUUAACCCAAGAUGCAAUGCCUAUGUUAGUCUAUUUGAGGGCCAGGUCAGGAAAAAAGCUUCUCUCAUGGCUUAAGGCAGUCUAAGACUAAAUUCCUGUCUCUUCAGCCUCUUGGAAAACAGAACUUAUUGCCAAAUUACAUUCUAUGCUAAUGUUAGUUUCAGUUUUGUAUUUCACACAGUAAUUACAUAAAACAAAUUUAUCUCAUAUCUUUUUGUAAUAAGUGUGUAUCCCUAUCUGCUUCAAUAAUAUGGUAUUUCUACCUUCAGGACUCUAUGAAUUGCAAUUAAUAAAGUUCACUGUGACAUGAAUAAUGUUUUUGCACCACUUCACGAGAGGUUUCAAGUGUGUUAUCCUUCUGAAAAGACAUUUAACUACAUUUUUAAAGCUAUGUUAAAUUUAGUUAUAAAUAAUUUGGCAGCAGCUGAUGCUCACACUGGAAACAUUUUUUCAUGUCCAACUCUAGCAAUAGCUUAGGGAAAAAGUGCUCUAGUUUUACCUGUUUUGUUAUGACUGAUUUGGAGAAAUCUUAUUAACCAAACAUUUAUUAAAAUAAAUAUAUCUCUUUUUUUAAUUUUUGUAGUUUUACAAUUCUUUACUCUGUAACAGUAAUUUACAUUGCACGAUAUUUUGUGCUAAACUGCCCUCUUGAGCCAAGUCCUUUAUAAAACAUGAAAAUAGAAUAGUAAAAGUUAUUCACGUAAACUACAGCGAAGUAGUUGCAGUCUUACAAAUAGGGUUGUAAAGGUGCUGGAUAAACCAACAUUCUGAUAUGUAUUUCCUGCAGACUAAACAAUGUGGUACACAACGCGUGACAUUUUGAAGUUACCCAACGUAAUGUAUAAAAAUAUAAAAUAUUAUAUAUUUGAGUAACAGUAGAACAAGCUACAGUGCAAUUUUCCUUAACCCAGUGAAAGCCCUACCUAUUUUUUCCCCACCCAUUCUACAUUUUCCACAAUAGGUUUUCUUUUCCAUUAAUAGUACAACAGAGCAAGCGCAGCUAGAGAAGACAUUUAAGAACACACUAAUUCUGUAAACCUGAAGUUCCUAGAAAUCAAAUACGUACCUUAAAAAAAUGAGAUUUGUUGACCCAUCCUUUCUGUGCUACAAUUUAAACAUUCUUCACUAUAAAAUGUAAAACUAAGAUAUUUACUAUGCCCUAAAUUUCAGAGAAAAUCAUCCCAUCGCUUUUAUCAGACUUCAGACUAAUGUAAUUUGGAACUACAAACACUUGCUCAGGGCUUUAAACAUAAGACAUUUUGUGUACAUUCCUCCCAGCUAUUUAUACAACAACUACCUUAGUGCACAAAGCCAAACCAGUGGAAAUCCCUCUCUCAAAAACCUGGAAACGAAUUUAUCUUUUACUACACAUUCAGCAUAAAACUGCAAUAAAGGAACAGACAGAAAAUAGCUAGCUUGUUUCAGUGCAUAUUUCUGUUUUUGAUUUUCUCCUAUAAGGUAAAAUCUUUUCAACUAUAAAAGUUGUUUAACACACUUCAGUUCUUUUGAAUACAUUCAUAGCAGUGAAUUCUGAAUGCACAUCAGGAAGUCAGAUUUUCACAUCUAAUAGGAGUGUACAAUAACUUUGCUUUGAGAAAAGACAGGAAUGGGAAGGUUUUAAUUUACAAAUUAAUAAUUUGGAGCUCAUAAUUCCAACAGAAAAAGACUUUUGAUUCCAAAUAAUUUGUAAGAAAAUGUAAGCUUUGUAUUCUAACUAUAUUAUUCCCUAUACUUCCUAUCCAAAUUGUUUUUUUUCUGGGAAAAAAAAGAAAAUGCACUGAUACAAAAACAACAGUAAUUACUGUCUGGCCAAA